rnacentral:lncRNA from 1 species
UGUUAGUGCCAGGUGGGUGGGAGUGGGAAUCCGUGCUCCCACUAGGCCUCUAUUGGUAGCACCUAGGCUGGGAGAGAGGCAUCUUGCUAGUGUUCCUCAAGGAAUCUUCACCGCCAGCAAGGAGGGGAGGGAGCAGACAGCAACUGAGACAUCUGACUUCCCCUUGACUUCCUCUAACACUGGCAGAUGUUCAGACGUGUCCAGAGUUUCUUCCUUCUGAUGGGUUCGUCAUCUCGCUGACUUCAGGAGUAAAGCCGCAGACCUUCGCAGCGAACAUUACAGCUCUUAAAAGUGGCGCGUCCAGAGUUAUUUGUUCCUCCUGGUGGGUUCGUGGUCUCCCUGACUUCAGGAGUGA